UACGUAGGGGGCGAGCGUUGUCCGGAUUUAUUGGGCGUAAAGAGCUCGUAGGCGGCUUGGCAAGUCGGGUGUGAAAACUCCAGGCUCAACCUGGAGACGCCACUCGAUACUGCCAUGGCUAGAGUCCGGUAGGGGACCACGGAAUUCCUGGUGUAGCGGUGAAAUGCGCAGAUAUCAGGAGGAACACCCGUAGCGAAGGCGGCACUCUGGGCCGGAACUGACGCUGAGGAGCGAAAGCGUGGGGAGCAAACAGG
rnacentral:rRNA from 1 species